rnacentral:rRNA from 1 species
GACGAACGCUGGCGGCGUGCUUAACACAUGCAAGUCGAACGCUGAAGCUCAGCUUGCUGGGUGGAUGAGUGGCGAACGGGUGAGUAACACGUGAGUAACCUGCCCUCUUCUUUGGGAUAACGCCCGGAAACGGGUGCUAAUACUGGAUAUUCACUGAUUCUCGCAUGGGGGUUGGUGGAAAGGUUUUUUCUGGUGGGGGAUGGGCUCGCGGCCUAUCAGCUUGUUGGUGGGGUGAUGGCCUACCAAGGCUUUGACGGGUAGCCGGCCUGAGAGGGUGACCGGUCACAUUGGGACUGAGAUACGGCCCAGACUCCUACGGGAGGCAGCAGUGGGGAAUAUUGCACAAUGGGCGAAAGCCUGAUGCAGCGACGCCGCGUGAGGGAUGGAGGCCUUCGGGGUGUAAACCUCUUUCGCUCAUGGUCAAGCCGCAGCUUGGGGUUGUGGUGAGGGUAGUGGGUAAAGAAGCGCCGGCUAACUACGUG